GCGGAUGUGGUGUAAAGGCAACACCGGAGUAUGCCAAGCUCCAAAUGCGAGUUCAACUCUCGUCGUCCGCU
rnacentral:tRNA from 2 species